GACAGAGGUGGCAAGCGUUGUUCGGAAUCACUGGGCUUAAAGGGCGCGUAGGUGGUAGUGCAAGUCUGAGGUGGAAUCCCAUGGCUUAACCAUGGAACUGCCUUGGAAACUGUAUUACUUGAGUCAGUGAGGGGAGGGUAGAAUUCCUGGUGUAGCGGUGAAAUGCGUAGAUAUCAGGAGGAAGGCCGGUGGCGAAGGCGGCCCUCUGGCGCUGAACUGACACUGAGGCGCGAAAGCGUGGGGAGCAAACAGG
rnacentral:rRNA from 1 species